AGCGAACGCUGGCGGCAGGCCUAACACAUGCAAGUCGAACGAACCUUUCGGGGUUAGUGGCGGACGGGUGAGUAACGCGUGGGAACGUGCCCUUCUCUGCGGAAUAGCCUCGGGAAACUGAGAGUAAUACCGCAUACGCCCUUUGGGGGAAAGAUUUAUCGGAGAAGGAUCGGCCCGCGUUGGAUUAGGUAGUUGGUGGGGUAAUGGCCCACCAAGCCGACGAUCCAUAGCUGGUUUGAGAGGAUGAUCAGCCACACUGGGACUGAGACACGGCCCAGACUCCUACGGGAGGCAGCAGUGGGGAAUCUUAGACAAUGGGGGCAACCCUGAUCUAGCCAUGCCGCGUGAGUGAUGAAGGCCUUAGGGUUGUAAAGCUCUUUCAGCUGGGAAGAUAAUGACGGUACCAGCAGAAGAAGCCCCGGCUAACUCCGUG
rnacentral:rRNA from 1 species